rnacentral:rRNA from 1 species
UACGUAGGGGGCGAGCGUUGUCCGGAUUUAUUGGGCGUAAAGAGCUCGUAGGCGGCUUGGCAAGUCGGGUGUGAAACCUCCAGGCUCAACCUGGAGACGCCACUCGAUACUGCUACGGCUAGAGUCCGGUAGGGGACCACGGAAUUCCUGGUGUAGCGGUGAAAUGCGCAGAUAUCAGGAGGAACACCGGUGGCGAAGGCGGUGGUCUGGGCCGGCACUGACGCUGAGGAGCGAAAGCGUGGGUAGCAAACAGG